rnacentral:rRNA from 1 species
UACAGGGGAUGCAAGUGUUAUCCGGAAUUAUUGGGCGUAAAGCGUCUGCAGGUUGAUAUGUAAGUCUUUUGUUAAACCUCUGAGCUCAACUCAGAAUCUGCAAAAGAAACUACAUGUCUUGAGUAUAGUAGGGGUAAAGGGAAUUUCCAGUGGAGCGGUGAAAUGCGUAGAUAUUGGAAAGAACACCAACAGCGAAGGCACUUUACUGGGCUAUUACUGACACUCAGAGACGAAAGCUAGGGGAGCAAACGGG